rnacentral:rRNA from 1 species
UACGGGGGGGGUAAGCGUUGUUCGGAAUUACUGGGCGUAAAGGGCUCGUAGGCGGCCAACUAAGUCAGACGUGAAAUCCCUCAGCUUAACUGGGGAACUGCGUCUGAUACUGGAUGGCUUGGAUUCGGGAGAGGAAUGCGGAAUUCCAGGUGUAGCGGUGAAAUGCGUAGAUAUCUGGAGGAACACCGGUGGCGAAGGCGGUUCUCUGGGCCUUACCUGACGCUGAGGAGCGAAAGCGUGGGGAGCGAACAGG